UUGAGGCUCUCCAGUAGAGGGAGGUAGUGCACUACAAAUGUCUUAAGGCUUGCAGGCUUUGGUUUAAGUCUCGUGAGACUUUGUUUAACUCUCGUUUGGUUAGAAGUGUGUAGCCGCCAUUCUUUAAAAGGCUCGUGGGAUUUUGCCCAGCGAUCUUUUUUUGGCUCACUGCCAGGGAUAUGUGCAGGUAGCACGGAGGGCUGAAACUUCAGAGCAGCGUUUUUGGUACUUCAUUCGGUUGGUUUGGAGUGUGGUAGGGCUGGAGAAGUCAGCCGCUGUGCACCAGUGAAUCCGGUACACAUUGUGGGAGUCCAGAUACAGUGUGGAAUAAGAGCCUAUGUUGUAGUGAACUGCAGCCCUGUGUAUGCCGGUGAGCCAGUAUGCAUUGCGGAAGUCCAGAUACAGCAGUAACAUCCAGUAGUGGACAGCAGUAACAAGGGAAGUGGAGCCCUUCCAAGGCAGAUAUAUAGAAUGUUUAGAAUAUAGGUAGGUUCAUGUUUUAAAUUAGUUUUAAUGAAAGAAAAGUUUUAGAGCUGUAAAGUGCUAAUGGUGUGCUUUCUCCUUUAUAGGAGUAUCCCUGGCCAGUGAAAAUUAAUUAUUGUUCUUUCCUUCCCCUUGAAACUUUUAAUAGC